rnacentral:rRNA from 1 species
AUUGAACGCUAGCGGGAGGCCUAACACAUGCAAGUCGAACGAGUGGCGGACGGGUGAGUAAUGUCUGGGAAACUGCCUGAUAGCGGGGGAUAACUACUCGAAACGGUAGCUAAUACCGCAUACUAUCGGAGAUGCCGAUAUGGGAUUAGCUAGUUGGUGGGGUAAAGGCUCACCAAGGCAACGAUCCGUAGCUGGUCUGAGAGGCCGACCAGCCACACUGGAACUGAGCCACGGCCCAGACUCCUACGGGAGGCAGCAGUGGGGAAUAUUGGACAAUGGGCGAAACCCUGAUCCAGCCAUCCCGCGUGUAUGAUGAAGGCCGUCGGGUUGUAAAGUACUUUCGGCGGAGAAGCGUUAUCCGCAGAAUAAGCACCGGCUAACUACGUGCCAGCAGCCGCGGUAAUAC